UGGGGAAUAUUGGACAAUGGGCGCAAGCCUGAUCCAGCCAUGCCGCGUGGAUGAAGAAGGCCCUAGGGUUGUAAAGUCCUUUCGACGGAGACGAUAAUGACGGUAUCCGUAGAAGAAGCCCCGGCUAAUUUCGUGCCAGCAGCCGCGGUAAUACGAAAGGGGCUAGCGUUGUUCGGAAUUACUGGGCGUAAAGCGCACGUAGGCGGUCGUGUAAGAUGGGGGUGAAAUCCCGGAGCUCAACUCCGGAACUGCCUUCAUGACUGCAUGGCUAGAGGAUGCGAGAGGCUGGCGGAAUUCCGAGUGUAGAGGUGAAAUUCGUAGAUAUUCGGAAGAACACCAGUGGCGAAGGCGGCCAACUGGCGCAUUUCUGACGCUGAGGUGCGAAAGCGUGGGGAGCAAACAGGAUUAGAUACCCAUGUAGUCCCUGAGCGGGCUGGCAAGGCGCAU
rnacentral:rRNA from 1 species